rnacentral:lncRNA from 1 species
AGGAAAUGAAAAACCCCACUUUGAUGUAGCUUAUAUUCUAAUAAUGGAGACAAAAUAAACAAGAAACAUUAAGUAAAAAUACCAAAUUUUAGAUCUUAAUAAGUGCCAAAGUAGACCAAAGAGACCGGUUGCACUGGCUUACACCUGUAAUUCCAGCACUAUGGGAGGCCAGGAGUUGAAUUCAGGAGUUCAAGACCAGCCUGGGCAACACAGUAAGACCACAUCUCAAAAAAAAACAAGAAGAAAAGUAGGCCAAAGAAAUAUAAAUUACGUAUGUGGUAGAGGGGACUUGACAGUUUAGAUAGGAUGUCUGAAAGAGGCUUCCCAGAGAGUGCGUUUCUGAGUUAAACAAUGAAGUGGGUAAUCUAGUAAUAGAGUGUUUGGAAUAAGAGCAUUCCAAGGAGACAUACAAAAAGCAACAACCUUGGAGUUGUAACACAUUUAGCAUAUUCAAGGUAGAGUCAGAAGCCAGUGUGCUGGAAACAACUGAAUGAAAGAGAGAGGAUAAAGAAGAAAUCAGGAUACUAAGAAGAGGAGAGCAGGUAAUGUUCCACACUGAAGAUCACAGAAAAGACUUCAAGUAAAUUCUAAGUGAAGUGGACAGCCAGAAGGAAUGUUUUAAGAAUUUUUAGACAGAAUUUGACGUCAUUACUAUGGCAAGGACAAAAUCACGAGGAUCAGGCCUUUAUUAUCUGAAGACUGAAAGACUGAAUGAGAAAUGCAUCUGAUCUAAUGCUGAGACAGUCGAAUUUGGGAAUUUGAAAUGCGAUUUACCAGAGAGCAACUUGGGCUUAGCACAUGGCUGAGGAAGAGAGGAAGAGGAAGGUUGGACUUUCCAUUUCAGAGAUGGAAGAGGUCAAGGAAAAUCUGCAUUUCAUUAAGGAGCACGCAGUCACAGCUAGCUUCCUGUUUGAAGAAAAAGAAAACAGUCCCUUGUUCAAAUAUCAUAAUUCACCAAAAUCUCACCAUGUUUUUCAUUUUUUUCUAUUAUAAAUUUACGUUAAUUGCAUGCUGCUUAAAUGUGGUUUUACAUAUUUACUCUCAGCAGCUCACUUUUAGAGCUACAUAUAUUUUCC